GAUGAACGCUGGCGGCGUGCCUAAUACAUGCAAGUCGAGCGAACAGACGAGGAGCUUGCUCCUCUGACGUUAGCGGCGGACGGGUGAGUAACACGUGGAUAACCUACCUAUAAGACUGGGAUAACUUCGGGAAACCGGAGCUAAUACCGGAAUAUAUAUUGAACCGCAUGGUUCAAUAGUGAAAGACGGUUUUGCUGUCACUUAUAGAUGGAUCCGCGCCGCAUUAGCUAGUUGGUAAGGUAACGGCUUACCAAGGCAACGAUGCGUAGCCGACCUGAGAGGGUGAUCGGCCACACUGGAACUGAGACACGGUCCAGACUCCUACGGGAGGCAGCAGUAGGGAAUCUUCCGCAAUGGGCGAAAGCCUGACGGAGCAACGCCGCGUGAGUGAUGAAGGUCUUCGGAUCGUAAAACUCUGUUAUUAGGGAAGAACAAAUGUGUAAGUAACUAUGCACGUCUUGACGGUACCUAAUCAGAAAGCCACGGCUAACUACGUG
rnacentral:rRNA from 1 species